GCGCUCGUAGCGCAGUUGGAUAGCGUGUCAGACUCCGACUCUGAAGGCCGUGGGUUCGAAUCCCGCCGGGCGCACCA
rnacentral:tRNA from 2 species